rnacentral:lncRNA from 1 species
GAGCUAAGAACUUUAGAUUAAGCUAGGAUGAAUUAUAGAUUUGAUCUAAUCUGUAUGAUACUGGUAGACUUCCCAUGUUCAACAAGUUUGUCACGCCAUUGCAUAGAACAGGGAUUGAUUGAUAAACAAUAAAAAUGAAUGUUUUUCUUACAAAUUAAUUAUCAAUCAAAAACCAAAUAUAAGCUGAUAGUAAACAAGCCAAGCCAAACAAUAUCUAGGUGCAUCAUGAUACUUUUAAGUUUUAAUACAUUGGUUAACACAUUGAACAAAUUUUUAAUUAGGCUACAUUUCAUUGUUCUGGAAGUAGCUUUUGCAUUUUGCAAUACAAACAACAUAAGAAAUGGUUUCCCCCAAUUCAUUCUCAACUAGAGGGGCCUUAAUUGAACUAUUGAAGACAGACAAUUUUUCAUACAAAGGCUGUUAGGCCAAGACACUAUAAAAGUGGCAUUCCCUCACAAAUACCAUAUUAGCCCAUGGCAUAUUUCUGGGUCCAGCUUCUUGCAGUUGACUCGUAUUUGUUCCUAUCUGUCUUGUACAUAUGAGCAAUUUCAGGAACCAGAGGAUCAUCGGGAUUUGGGUCUGUCAACAAGGAACAAAUAGAGAGCAACACCUGUAGAUGUCAAAGAAAUAAAAAUAAUAAUUAGAUGCAACUCCACAACUAUAUCAGGAUACAUGAAAAGUUUUUGUUGUACUCUGUACUGAAUAACAUGAUGCCAAACUUCAAGCAAAACAGCCAUUCCAGAUUAGUUGCAUAAAAAUUACAUAGUAGGGAUAAGUGCAUUUUGGUCAAUCCCAGAGUUCGAAAGAUACUGGUGAACAUCAAGACUAAGGAACGUUAUGCCAAACUUCAACUCUCAACUGAACAUCAAAGACUAUUCCCUUUACUGAACAACAUUAUGCCAAACUUCAACUCUCAACUGAACAUCAAAGACUACUCUCUACUAAACAAUAUCAUGCCAAACUUCAAGCAAAACAGCCAUUCAAGAUUCUUUGCAUAUAGAUUAUAAAGUACGGACAAGUAGAUUUCAAUGAAUUCCACAAUUAUAAAGUAGGGAUCCUUAAAGAAUUUUUGUAGUUAUUGGAUUAUGAAACUCCCUGCACGGUGUUGUGUAAAACUAGCCAAACUUCAUGAAAGCCAUCCUCUAAACUUCAAGAGUUUAAUAACAGGGUAGAGUUUAACAACUUCAGGUGUUUAUAAAUUAGGUGUUACAUGGUUUUCUAUCUUGUCAUAGUGUAAACUAAUUUUAAGAAGUAACGAUAUAAUGUGGCAAGAUGACAAAAUAUAAUUAGACGUCUGUGUAAAACCUGCUUGCAUAAGUUCAAAAUUCACAGCAUAAAAUUAUUAAAUAGGGAUUAUAUGUUGUGACGAUUCCCCCCUAUUCAGUAAAUAAUGUUGACAGUAAGAAUAGGGGAAAAUGGAUUGCAUUAGUAAGCAUAUAUUCUUAUACUACAUAUUAUACAUAUUAAAUGUAUAAGGAGAUGCCAUUCAAAAGAAUAUUAGAUGUAAUAAAUAGGGACUAGUAUGGUGCGAUGAAUCCCUUGACAUGCAAAAAGAGAUGCCCUUCAAAUAUCAAGGCAAAAAGAAUAUUGAAUGUAAUAAAUAGGGACUAGUACACUGCGAAGAAUCCCUUGUUUGGUAAACACCAUUUGUCAUCAAGUGUACGGAACAAUCACGGCUUGGUUUAGAUAUGGAUUGUAUUGGAAGAAUAGGGUACAUACUUUAAGGAAUGAAGGUUUAUUUCACUAUCUAAUAAAUUGAUAAAACAGACCUUGGAAAUGGUUAGUGCAGGGCUCCACUGCUCCUUCAAUAUAUCAAGGCAAAUACUUCCAUUGCUGUUAAUGUUUGGGUGAAAUACCUUCGUCCUGAAUGCAACCUGAAAGAUCAAUCACCAUGCAUAGAUAUGUUCAUUCAUACUGAAUUUGUCAAUAAAUGAAUGCUUAAAUGACAAAGAAGCAAUCCAAAAUAAUAAGGGAAAAUGCAAAGCAGUAUUCUAUAAAAUAAACUAGCAAGAAAUGAAAACAGCUUUAAUCGACAAUACAGAAACAGACAUGGGAUAGAAAUAGAAACCUUGGGUGGCUUAAAGGGAUAAUCUGGAGGGAAAUGAAUAGAAACUAGGAAAACACCUCCAGAAUACGGACUGUCUGAAGGACCCAUAAUUGUUGCUUGCCAAUGAAACAUAUCUUCAGCAACCGGGCCUGCAAUGUAUUGAGUAUGAAACAAAGUCAAAACAACAAUAUAAGCAUAAAUUGUUCUUCAUGCCAGCACAAAUAGUGUACCUAAAAUGACAUGGCGCUACAUAAUAUCCCACUACUCAUCAUGUAAAUUGGCAUACAGAUAAAUUAACUUAUCAGAUAAAGUAGUUUCAUCAUACAUGGCCACUUCUCAAAAAAAAUUGCAAUUGCUAUAUACACAAUAGGAAAUAAGUUUAAGAAUAUUUGGCACUGAAAAAUAUCCAUGAUUAAAUAUUUUCCUGAUUCAGGUAAUGACUGGACCAUAGUCCAAAUACAAUAUGUAAAUUCAAAACAUCAAUCAGUACACAACUACAGCAACUACAACUUCCAUUUCUGCAGAAUCUGGUCACAUAACACACAACAGCACCAACAGAUUCAUAAUUUAAGCAAUAGCAUUGCCAAGUAAAAAGAGAUGAAUAUAGGUUGAUACUUCUAUAAUCAAAAGCCUACACAAUCGACAACAAUCUAUGAAAACAUAUAAAAGUCAAAGAAAUCCACUCUUCAGCAACAUCGUGGAAUCCGAUAACCGCCCCCACACAGAACAAAACAAACACUGUCCUAGGGACUAUUUGAAUCAGCUUAUUUGAGCUUAUCUCCCGACAUAAGCACCUGUGAGACUGCUUGAGAGAACUUAUGAAAGCAGCUUAUAACAUGUUCGUAUGUUGUUUUCAACUUAUUUUCAUAAGUUCUCCAAAAUAGCUUGUGAAAACAGCUUAUAUGAAAAAAUAAUUUUAUCUUAUCUCUAAUAGUAAAAAUGGCUUAUACAUAAGCACUUAUCAUAACUAUCGUAUAUGCUAUAGGUUGCAAAUUAAGUUGUUUAUCCGAAAAGGCCCGAAUCCAAAGAUGAAAGUAAAACCAAUCUCAAAUAACAUCUACUACAACCAAUUAAAACAAUUAACAAUCUCAAACAAAAACGAAAAACAUAAAAUUCUCAACAUGAAGUUACAAUAUUGUAAUUUAUCAACAAAUCACAAACUAUAAACACACCUGAAUCGAACUUAAAAUUGAUCUAAUAACAAAAAAUAAGCAGCAAAUAUAUGAUUCCAAUUGAAAAAGAGCAAAAAAAAUAUACAUAAAAAUAUCAAUCAAAAUUAAAAAAAUAAAAUAAAAAAAAGAAAUAUAUAUACCAGCACUGCACGAAGUUGGAGGAUCCUUCUGCAAAUCCUUGAGUUCUUUCAAUAUCCGUUUUGAAGCCAUAGCAAAAACCUAACAAAAACAGAUCGAAAACAAAAACCAGCUUAAAAAUCAAAACGAAUAGAUCGAAAACAGAAAAUCGUAGAUGAUGAUGAUUGAUUACCUAGAGAUAACGCAAGAGAGAUCCUCCUUUGAAUUUGCAAGGAAUUGAAGAACGAAUGAAAAGGAGUUGUUGGAUAUAAAUAAAUGGUGUUGGUGCUUUUUUGAAAUUUUGGGAAUGAGAUAUUAUUAAUUGGUGUUAAUGAUUGUGAUAAUUGUAUUUAUUUAGAUUUAGAUUAGAUUAAAUUAGAUUCCAAACGAUGACUCGUUAUUGAAGGAAUCUUUUACUUUUGUUUUGUCCACGCGGAAGGGGGUCAGAACAGAAGAAACGAAUCGAGGGUAAUAUUGGUUCUUGCUCUUUGUUCUAUUUUGUGAUGAUUGAUGCAUUGAAUCUAGGUUCCAAACUUCCAAUUUAGCAAGAAAAAUGCUAAAAUAUGUAGUAUUAAUUAUUAAAGAUAUUGUUUAAAAAUUUAUAAAAUUUUAUUUGGAAAUAGUAUAGGUCAAAUAUUUCUUAAAUUAAUAAGUAUAUUAUUUUUUUUAUAUAAAAGUAAAUUUUUUAAUUUUUCUUUUUUGAUUUACAAUGAGUUUGAGAUCGAACUCAGGACCUAUUAGGAUUCUUUCUAUUUUUCAAUGGAAAUAGAAAGUUCUAUUUAAAGAUAGCCACAAAUAAGUUUAAAUUAUUUUAAAAAUAUUAAAUGAUGACGGAAUUCACUUGAUAAUGAAACUCACUACCUGUUUUUUAAUUUUUAUGUGUAUGUCUCUCUAAUGGAGUUUUUCAUUUUUUUGAAAAAUAUAGAGGAUCCUAACUUGAGAAAUAUAUUGUUAUUAGAUCGCAUCCUUGUAUAAACACACCCACUCUCUUCUCUAUGUCAUGUGGAUAAGAUAAGUAAAAAAAAGUUAAAAAUCUAUUUGUAUAACUAGUAAAUGAGACAAUAUAAGUGAUUGUUGUUCUAUUCAACCGCCACAUCACAAUCCUUAGGUAAAAGAGAUGGUCUACAUAAGACUAACCAAACCACUUUAAGGUUGGAUAUGAUGGAUUACGGUAUUGUAAAGGAGCUGGAGAAUCUCAAAACUAUGACGAUCUUUUCAGUAGCUCCGAAGGCAAAUGAAUGAAAAAAAUACAAUAGAAAGAGUUGAGUUUUUUUAAAAAACAAAUUGCAAAUUAUUAGUAUAUUAAUUGUUACAUUAGUUGUUUACACUUUGUCAGAACUUGAACUUUGUACCUCCAACUCUGUUAACCAUUAACUAGUUCAACUAGUUGAACUACUCAUCCCACCCAUUAGAAAAAGAUGAGUGUGUGAUGACAGAAUUGUGAGACAUAUAUCUAAGUUCGAAGUUUGGAUAUAGCUUAAAGAAAAAGGUAUUUUUGGCGUUAUUGAUUAAAGAAAAAGAUAUAGAUUAGAUUAAGCUACGAUAACUUAUAUUUGAUCUAAUGUGAACGAUACUGGCAGACUUGCCAUGUUCAACAAGUUUUUGGCGUCAUUGCAUAGAACAGGGAUUGAUAAACAACAAAAAUUAAUGUUUUUCUUACAAAUUAAUUAAUUAUUAAUCAAAAUCAAAAUAUAAGCUAAUAGUAAACAAGCCAAACAAUAUCUAGGUGCAUCAUGAUACUGUUAAUACAUUGGUUAACACAUUGGACAAACUUUUAAUUAGGUUACAUUCCAUUGUUCUAGAAGUAGCUUUGCAACAACAUAAGAAAUGGCUCCCCCAAUUCAUUCUCAACUAGAGGGGCCUUAAUUGAACUAUUGAAGACGACAAUUUUUCAUACAAAG